GGUAUUCUAUUAUGUUUUCAACCAGGUGGCUGUACUCCCAUCCCAGAAUCUGACCUGGAGGAAAGGACAGGUGUACAGGAUUCCACAACAACGUUUACCAACCACAGGCACUUCACAAAGCAGAAAUCCAAAACUGAUUUUCCGCAGGGUGCAUUAGAGGAAGCAGAAAAGCCAUGAAAAUCUGAAGAGGACUCUCAGGAGGAUUUUUCUUUUACAAUGCAGCUGUACCAAUCCAUGUUACUCUAUUCUGAAUGGAGCCUUCAGAAGGAGAAGGUCCCACUAAUUGUACAAAAAAGUUUAUUCACAUCAAAUUGAUUAGAUUUCCUUGCCAACUACUCGUCUUAGCAUCCAUUCUCUGGAUAAAGCCUAACCACUUAUGAAACUGUUGUAGCAAAUGUUUGUUAAUCUGCAAUAUCAGCCCAUCAUAAAGAUCCUGUUCACUGAUCAAAGACUAUUUACACACAUUUAAAAGCAAACUGUGUUUCAUGGUAUGUUUUAUCUGACUUUUUAGAUAUUCUGUACUCCCUCUCCCUUUGCGAUUAUGUUACCAUUUUCUCAUAAUGUCACAGUUUGAGCAAAAUAGCCAUCUCCUUUCCUCUUCUGCAGACCAAUCACAAUUUCCACACAGGUGAAUUCACCACAAGAAGAAAGGCAGAUUUUCCACCAAGGCUUCCCUAUCCCCCUCCUCCCUGAUUUAUACAUUUGCUCUCAAGAGAUACAGUGUAAAAUAUGGUUAUGACAAGGGCAAAAUGUCUCCUUCCCUUUUCCUGUUACAUAAGUCUUGUGAAUAAAGUUUACAUUGUAAUUACCCUAAGCACUCUGA